rnacentral:rRNA from 1 species
CCUACGGGUGGCAGCAGUGGGGAAUAUUGGGCAAUGGGCGCAAGCCUGACCCAGCAACGCCGCGUGAAGGAAGAAGGCUCUCGGGUUGUAAACUUCUUUUGUCAGGGACGCAGCAAGCGACGGUACCUGACGAAUAAGCCACGGCUAACUACGUGCCAGCAGCUGCGGGAAUACGUAGGUGGCAAGCGUUAUCCGGGUUUACUGGGUGUAACGGGCGUGUAGGCGGGGAAGCAAGGCAGAUGUGAAAACCACGGGCUCAAACUGUGGCCUGCAGUUGAAACUGUUUUUCUUGAGUGCGGGAGAGGCAAGCGGAAUGCGGUGUGUAGCGGUGAAAUGCAUAGAUAUACGGAGGAACACCAGUGGCGAAGGCAGAUUGCUGGGCUUUUACUGACGCUGAGGCUCGAAAGUGUGGGGAGCGAACAGGAUUAGAUACCCGGGUAGUC